UUCGGAACAGAGGGCAAUUUUUAAAAUUCAAGGGCGAUGUCGGAAAACACUUCCUCACAGAAAGUGGAAACCUGGAACUGUCUUCCCUAAAGUGCUGUUAAGAAUCAGGGAGAAGGGAGCUGCAGAGUCUGAAAGGUUCAGAGGGUGGCCAGUAGUACACCACAGAUUGGACUGGAGAAAAGGGAUGGCAGAAGACAAACUAGUUUGAUC